UGGAGAAUAGUGUAAAAGCAUUUCUAGCUUCCGACUAGAGGGGAAUCUCUAA
rnacentral:tRNA from 1 species